AUUGAACGCUGGCGGCAUGCCUUACACAUGCAAGUCGAACGGUAACAGGUCUUCGGAUGCUGACGAGUGGCGAACGGGUGAGUAAUACAUCGGAACGUGCCCGAUCGUGGGGGAUAACGAGGCGAAAGCUUUGCUAAUACCGCAUACGAUCUACGGAUGAAAGCGGGGGAUCUUCGGACCUCGCGCGGACGGAGCGGCCGAUGGCAGAUUAGGUAGUUGGUGGGAUAAAAGCUUACCAAGCCGACGAUCUGUAGCUGGUCUGAGAGGAUGAUCAGCCACACUGGGACUGAGACACGGCCCAGACUCCUACGGGAGGCAGCAGUGGGGAAUUUUGGACAAUGGGCGAAAGCCUGAUCCAGCCAUGCCGCGUGCAGGAUGAAGGCCUUUGGGUUGUAAACUGCUUUUGUACGGAACGAAAAGCCUCUUUCUAAUAAAGAGGGGUCAUGACGGUACCGUAAGAAUAAGCACCGGCUAACUACGUGC
rnacentral:rRNA from 1 species